rnacentral:rRNA from 1 species
AUUGAACGCCGGCGGCAGGCUUAACACAUGCAAGUCGAGCGGAGCGAGGGUGCUUGCACCUUAGCUUAGCGGCGGACGGGUGAGUAAUGCUUAGGAAUCUGCCUAUUAGUGGGGGACAACAUUCCGAAAGGGAUGCUAAUACCGCAUACGCCCUACGGGGGAAAGCAGGGGAUCUUCGGACCUUGCGCUAAUAGAUGAGCCUAAGUCGGAUUAGCUAGUUGGUGGGGUAAAGGCCUACCAAGGCGACGAUCUGUAGCGGGUCUGAGAGGAGGAUCCGCCACACUGGGACUGAGACACGGCCCAGACUCCUACGGGAGGCAGCAGUGGGGAAUAUUGGACAAUGGGCGGAAGCCUGAUCCAGCCAUGCCGCGUGUGUGAAGAAGGCCUUUUGGUUGUAAAGCACUUUAAGCGAGGAGGAGGCUACUAGUAUUAAUACUACUGGAUAGUGGACGUUACUCGCAGAAUAAGCACCGGCUAACUCUGUGCCAGCCGCCGCGGUAA